rnacentral:rRNA from 1 species
UACGUAGGGGGCGAGCGUUGUCCGGAUUUAUUGGGCGUAAAGAGCUCGUAGGCGGCUGUUCGAGUCGGGUGUGAAAUCCUGAGGCUUAACCUUGGGUCUGCAUUCGAUACUGGGCGGCUUGAGUCUGGUAGGGGGAUCUGGAAUUCCUGGUGUAGCGGUGGAAUGCGCAGAUAUCAGGAGGAACACCGGUGGCGAAGGCGGCUAUCUGGACGGUUUCUGACGCUAAGACGCGAAAGCGUGGGGAGCAAACAGG